rnacentral:rRNA from 1 species
AUUGAACGCUGGCGGCAGGCUUAACACAUGCAAGUCGAGCGGAGAUGAGGUGCUUGCACCUUAUCUUAGCGGCGGACGGGUGAGUAAUGCUUAGGAAUCUGCCUAUUAGUGGGGGACAACAUUCCGAAAGGAAUGCUAAUACCGCAUACGUCCUACGGGAGAAAGCAGGGGAUCUUCGGACCUUGCGCUAAUAGAUGAGCCUAAGUCGGAUUAGCUAGUUGGUGGGGUAAAGGCCUACCAAGGCGACGAUCUGUAGCGGGUCUGCGAGGAUGAUCCGCCACACUGGGACUGAGACACGGCCCAGACUCCUACGGGAGGCAGCAGUGGGGAAUAUCGGACAAUGGGGGGAACCCUGAUCCAGCCAUGCCGCGUGUGUGAAGAAGGCCUUAUGGUUGUAAAGCACUUUAAGCGAGGAGGAGGCUACUGAGACUAAUACUCUUGGAUAGUGGACGUUACUCGCAGAAUAAGCACCGGCUAACUCUGUGCCAGCCGCCGCAGUAAAAC